rnacentral:rRNA from 1 species
AACCUCAUGAAUAAGGGGCUCCUAAUCUCGUGCCAGCAGGAGCGGUAAUACGAGAGCCUCGAGCGUUAUCCGGGAAUUAUUGGGCGUAAAGGGUGUGUAGGUUGUGGUGUUAGUCCUUUCGUUAAAUCCCAGAGCUCAACUUUGGAACCGCGAAGGAAACGGCACUACUUGAGAGUGUGAGAGGUCUAUGGAACUCAUGGUGUAGGGGUGAAAUCCGUUGAUAUCAUGGGGAACACCAAAAGCGAAGGCAAUAGACUGGCACAUAUCUGACACUGAAACACGAAAGCGUAGGUAGCGAAUGGGAUUAGAUACCCCAGUAGUCUACGCCCUAAACGAUCUUCUCUAGUCUUUCGGAGUAUCGACCCUCUGAGAGGCGUAGCUAACGCGUUAAGAGAAGCGCCUGGGAAGUACGGUCGCAAGACUAAAACUCAAAGGAAUAGACGGGGACUUGCACAAGCAGUGGAUUAUGUGGUUUAAUUCGAUGGUAACCGAAAAGCCUCACCAAGGUUAGAAAUCAACGUGAAAGCUCUAGGAAACUAGAGCCCUCGCAAGACUAGUUGACAGGUGAUGCAUGGCCGUCGUCAGUUCGUGGUUUGAAUUGUUCCCUUAAGUGGGGUAACGAACGCAACCCUCGUCGUGUGUUAUAUUUGUCACACGAGACCGCCCAGACCGAAGAGCACGAAAUUUGCUUCGUGAAUUUCGGUCUGGGAGGAAGGAGAGGAUGACGCCAGGUCAGCAUGUCCCUUGAUAUCUUGGGCUACACACAUAAUACAAUGACCACUACAACGCGUUGCGACGGGGUGACCCUGAGCUAAUCGUUAGAAAGGUGGCCUCAGUUCGGAUUGGAGUCUGCAACUCGACUCCAUGAAGUUGGAAUUGCUAGUAAUCGCGGGUCAGCAAACCGCGGUGAAUACGUUCUCAAGUCUUGUACUCACCGCCCGUCAAGUCAAGGGAGCCGGGAGUGCCCGAAAUCUCUGCAUUCGCAGGGCCUAAGGUAAAUUCGGUGACAGGGACUAAGUCGUAACAAGGUAACCGAAUCUCUGAAGAUCCGCGCAC